UACGUAGGGUGCGAGCGUUAAUCGGAAUUACUGGGCGUAAAGCGUGCGCAGGCGGUUCGUCAAGUCUGAUGUGAAAGCCCCGGGCUCAACCUGGGAACUGCAUUGGAUACUAGCGAGCUUGAGUGUGGCAGAGGGGGGUGGAAUUCCACGUGUAGCAGUGAAAUGCGUAGAGAUGUGGAGGAACACCGAUGGCGAAGGCGACUUUCUGGUCUGUAACUGACACUGAGGCGCGAAAGCGUGGGGAGCGAACAGG
rnacentral:rRNA from 1 species